rnacentral:misc_RNA from 1 species
GAUGAAGAACGCAGCGAAAUGCGAUAAGUAAUGUGAAUUGCAGAAUUCAGUGAAUCAUCGAAUCUUUGAACGCACAUUGCGCCCUCUGGUAUUCCGGGGGGCAUGCCUGUUCGAGCGUCAUUAUAACCACUCAAGCUCUCGCUUGGUAUUGGGGUUCGCGGUUCCGCGGCCACUAAAAUCAGUGGCGGUGCCUGUCGGCUCUACGCGUAGUAAUACUCCUCGCGAUUGAGUCCGGUAGGUCUACUUGCCAGCAACCCCCAAUUUUUACAGGUUGACCUCGGAUCAGGUAGGGAUACCCGCUGAACUUAAGCAUAUCAAUAAGCGGAGGA